GACGAACGCUGGCGGCGUGCUUAACACAUGCAAGUCGAACGAUGUGGCGAACGGGUGAGUAACGCGUGAUCCCCCUGCCCUUCAGAGGGGGACAACAGUUGGAAACGACUGCUAAUACCGCAUACUGAAGGAGGGGUUUGCGUUGGAUUAGCUCGUUGGAGGGGUAACGGCCCACAAGGGCGAUGAUCAGUAGGCGGUCUGGGAGGAUGGACGGCCACAUUGGGAAUGUGACACGGCCCAGACGCCGACGGGAGGCAGGAGUGGGGAAUCUUCGGCAAUGGACGAAAGUCGGACGGAGCAACGCCGCGUGAGUGAUGACGGCCUUCGGGGUGUAAAGCUCUGUUAAUCGGGACGCGGUACCGGAAUAGAAAGCCACGGCUAACUACGUGCCAGCAGCCGCGGUAAUUC
rnacentral:rRNA from 1 species